GUGCUCACCUCAGCAGCACAUAUACUAAAACCAGGAUAAUACAGAGAUUAGCAUAGCCCCCGUGCAAUGAUGACAAGCAUAUUCAUGAAGCAUUCCAUAUUUUC
ensembl:snRNA U6 U6 spliceosomal RNA